GUUUUAAUAAUUUAACUAAAAUAUUGAUUUUGUAAAUCAAAUAUAAGAUUUAUCUUUUAAAACA
rnacentral:tRNA from 1 species